rnacentral:lncRNA from 7 species
AUUCAAAUUAGAAGGAUACAUUUGAGACACAUGUCAGAACAUAGAAACUGGACAGGUAAGAGGACAAGCUGAUGUGAAUUCUUCUAGUGACGUUAACCUGAUUCAGGUUUACCCACCGAAAGGGGGAUUCACCCACAAGCAUACAAAGUUUCCAUCUGGAGGACCAAAAUAACAGUUUGCUAAAUGUCUGACAUGAAGUUCAAACCGGAACUAGAUCAACAUAUCCCGAGAUCAGAAGACUACUAACUAAACAUCUUCCACACGCUCAUCACAUGUAAAUUGCCAGAAUUGGGCCACACGCUCAAUUGACUUGGGAUGGAUUUUCAUCUUCAUCAUCAUUGACAACCCUCAAC